UACAGAGGUCCCAAGCGUUGUUCGGAUUCACUGGGCGUAAAGGGUGCGUAGGCGGCCGGGUAAGUCUGAUGUGAAAUCCCGCAGCUUAACUGCGGAACUGCAUCGGAUACUCUCCGGCUAGAGGAAUGGAGGGGAGACUGGAAUUCUCGGUGUAGCGGUGGAAUGCGUAGAGAUCGGGAAGAACAUCAGUGGCGAAGGCGGCCUGCUGGGCUGUUGCUGACGCUGAGGCGCGACAGCGUGGGGAGCAAACGAGG
rnacentral:rRNA from 1 species